GGUGGCUCAGUGGUAGAGUGCUUGCCUUGCAUGCGAGGCCCUGAGUUCGAUUCCUCAGCACCA
rnacentral:tRNA from 1 species